GUGGGGAAUAUUGCGCAAUGGGCGAAAGCCUGACGCAGCAACGCCGUGUGAGGGAUGAAGGCUUUCGGGUCGUAAACCUCUGUCGGAAGGGAAGAACGGGUGAGGGUCUAAUAGGCCUUCAUUUUGACGGUACCUUUAGAGGAAGCACCGGCUAACUCCGUGCCAGCAGCCGCGGUAAUACGGAGGGUGCAAGCGUUAUUCGGAAUUACUGGGCGUAAAGCGCACGUAGGCCGCUUUGUAAGUCAGGGGUGAAAUCCCACGGCUCAACCGUGGAACUGCCCUUGAAACUGCAGAGCUUGAAUCCUGGAGAGGGUGGCGGAAUUCCUGGUGUAGGAGUGAAAUCCGUAGAUAUCAGGAGGAACACCGGUGGCGAAGGCGGCCACCUGGACAGGCAUUGACGCUGAGGUGCGAAAGUGUGGGGAGCAAACAGGAUUAGAAACCCCAGUAGUCC
rnacentral:rRNA from 1 species